UACGGGGGGAGCAAGCGUUGUUCGGAUUUACUGGGCGUAAAGGGCGCGUAGGCGGUCGUGACAAGUCAGUUGUGAAAUCUCCGGGCUUAACUCGGAAAGGUCAACUGAUACUGUGCGACUAGAGUGCAGAAGGGGCAACUGGAAUUCUCGGUGUAGCGGUGAAAUGCGUAGAUAUCGAGAGGAACACCUGCGGCGAAGGCGGGUUGCUGGGCUGACACUGACGCUGAGGCGCGAAAGCCAGGGGAGCGAACGGG
rnacentral:rRNA from 1 species